rfam:Leptotrichia sp. oral taxon 215 str. W9775 genomic scaffold Scaffold87, whole genome shotgun sequence.
UGACAUGUUCGUAGUAUGGCGAACAGGAUAAUCAAAAAAAACGUACAAUGAGA